UUAUUUGAGAGUUUGAUCCUGGCUCAGGAUGAACGCUGGCGGCGUGCCUAACACAUGCAAGUUGAGCGAUUUACUUCGGUAAAGAGCGGCGGACGGGUGAGUAACGCGUGGGUAACCUACCCUGUACACACGGAUAACAUACCGAAAGGUAUGCUAAUACGGGAUAACAUACUUGAGAGGCAUCUCUUAAAUAUCAAAGGUGAGCCAGUACAGGAUGGACCCGCGUCUGAUUAGCUAGUUGGUAAGGUAACGGCUUACCAAGGCGACGAUCAGUAGCCGACCUGAGAGGGUGAUCGGCC
rnacentral:rRNA from 1 species